rnacentral:rRNA from 1 species
GCUCGAGUGGCGAACGGGUGAGUAACACGUGGGUGAUCUGCCCUGCACUUCGGGAUAAGCCUGGGAAACUGGGUCUAAUACCGGAUAGGAGCCAUUUUUAGUGUGAUGGUUGGAAAGUUUUUCGGUGUAGGAUGAGCUCGUGGCCUAUCAGCUUGUUGGUGGGGUAAUGGCCUACCAAGGCGGCGACGGGUAGCCGGCCUGAGAGGGUGGACGGCCACAUUGGGACUGAGAUACGGCCCAG